GCAGCCGGGGAGGCAGGAGGAAGAGGCCGGAACGAGACCGGAGCCCCUGCGGGCAGCGCGGGGUGCGGACCCAGGCCGGCCGGGCCCUCCCGACCUCCGGCAGGUGCAUCGGGCGGCACCCAGCCGCGCGCUCCGGAGACCCCGGACCCGGACUGCGCGCCGGGCCCCGCAGAUUCUGGCCGGUUGGGGCACAAAGGGGCCCCAGGAUGCCUCUCUCCGAGGCAGCACGUCUCCAGCCUGCGGCCAGAGCGCAGAGGACCACGCGUCGUAAAACUCGGGCAGAGACCCGCGUGGGCCGGGACGUGGGAGUGGUGCGUUCGCGAGCGUUCCCGCCGCCGGCGAGGGGCCGCCAGGGUCGGCCACGUCCAUGUGGCGGAACUUAAUGUUCCUCCCCUUCGGUUUGCUCGCCAAGAGCACAGUAUCCGAGCGGGGAGGGCGGAGCAGUCAUCGGGGUGAGCAAUUCAAAAAAAAAGGACGGACGGCCCAGUGCAGGUGUCUCCCGACGACACAGCCUUUGAUCUGCCUAUCCUGAACUUCGACGUACAUUUUGAAGUGUGGACUUUUCCCCAACACGUGUAAUUGAGUCAGGAAGACUUAAUGAAGAGUGGACAUGCCCUCUGGACCCGCCCUGCCGCCCACCUCGGAUAUGAUGGUUUCAUUAUUGGCCUCGAUAUUGUGCCAUCCAUUCUGCUCCACUGGCUUACUUCUCGAUCUCUGCGAAAAUGCAUGCAUAUUGUUAUCCUUUCCGGUACAUCUAGUAUUUACAAGAGGAAGCCAUCCUACCUUCUUUAUCUUCUUUUUAAAAAUGAUUUAGCUGGCGUGGGUGCCUGGGUGGUUCGGUCGGUUGAGCGGUUGAACAGCCGACUCCUGACUUCGGUUCAGAUCUUCCAGUUCGUGAGAUCGAGCCCCACGUCCGGCUCUGCACCGACCGUGCAGAGCCUGCUUGGGAUUCUCACGCUCCCUCUCUCUUUGCCCCUCCCUGCGCUCUCUCUCAAAAUAAGUAAGUAAACAUUUUAAAAAAUGACGGAGCUGGCUAAAUCUCUCCGGUUCUUCCAAGUAUUAGGAUCUGUUGGAGUUCUGACAGAACUCUCAUUUAAUAUAUAUAAUUUUAAAGAGACUUCGUAUUUUUCCCUUAUAAAGCAUUUUCUCCCCUUGAUACAGUGUUUCUCUGUGGUGACUUAAGCAGUUUUUGAUAUCGCUCCAUAAUAUUUUAUGACUCUUCCUGUGUAAACAUUAUCAAUUUGUCGGAUUCAUUCUUGGGUAUAAUUUUUUAGGCCUUAUUUUCUGUAUGUUUCUGAAUUAAAAUUACGCACAGUAAGUACCAAGCGUGCCAAACUCAGGUAUUGACUUUAAACGUUCCUCGAUCCUCUCUUUUCUCUAUGGAUAAUAUCAUAUUAUCUGCAACUGGUGAUUCCUUAUUUAUUCCUUUUCAAUUCUUAUAUAUUCCUUUCCAGUUUGAAAUCGUCCUAACAGACCAUGAUUGCUCCUCCCACAAGGAAUGAGUGACCUUAAUUUUACUUGCACGGCUUUCUAUAGGUCUUAUUUCAACCCCAAAUUCACGCACAAGUUAUUGAAAUCUCUUUCGAGGGUGUCUCUCCACAUCCCAGUUUCUCUCAGCUUUGCACCUCCGGGAAGAAUUCCUCC